AGCCAAGACCGCGCCACUGCCCUCUGGCGUGAGGAACAGCGGGAGACUCGGUCUCAAAAAGAAAAGAGCUGUAACACUCACCACGAAGGCCCGGCUUCGUUCUUGAAGGCAGCGAGACCACGAACACCCUGGCCGGCAGCAACUGCAGACACAUAAUCACAAGAGGACUUUCCCCAGCUGAUGGGAGAAGAGGCAGGUAGAAGAGAAGGCAGAAGGAGAAAGAGCCCAACCACAAGAAGGAACUGAAGUGCCAUCACUGGUUUGAAGACACAGAGGGCCUCACGUAGAGAAGGACAGUGGCUCUUCACCCCUAGCUGACAACCAGAAAGGAAACAAGCUCCCCAGUCCUACAACUGUAUGGAACGGAACUGUGCCGGCAUCCCGAGUAAGCACGAAAUGGGUUAUUCCUCGAGCCUUCAGAUAAAAACCCAGCCUGGCCCACACCUCAAUAUCAGCUUUGUGAGACCUUGAGCAGAGAAGCCAGUCAAGCCACCUGGACUUCUGACCUCCAGAAUGGUGAGGUGAUCAACGGGUGCUGUUUUAAGCUGCUAAUUUUGAGGUAAUUUGUUAGGCAUCAAUAGAAAGCUAACACAAUCAAUGAUUUCUUUUCUUCUGAAUCAGAGAACAGAAGACAUAGCCAAGCACUCUUAUGGCCUUUGGAAUUAUGCCAGCAAGAGCUCUGUUGACUACAACUGGCCUUUUACUUUCAAGACAAGACCAAAAACAUAAAUCUGACAUUUGCCCUGCUUCCAGUGUGACCUGCCACAGUCAGGAAAAACCUCACAUAUUUCACUCUGAAAUAAAUCAUGUCUUAUUCUAGUACCCAGAAUCAAUAAAAUACUGAGCAUUUCCCACAAAAGUAUUAUGUCUUUCAGAAAUAUGGUAAUC
rnacentral:lncRNA from 1 species